rnacentral:rRNA from 1 species
GACGAACGCUGGCGGCGUGCCUAAUACAUGCAAGUAGAACGCUGAAGAGAGGAGCUUGCUCUUCUUGGAUGAGUUGCGAACGGGUGAGUAACGCGUAGGUAACCUGCCUUGUAGCGGGGGAUAACUAUUGGAAACGAUAGCUAAUACCGCAUAACAAUGGAUGACCCAUGUCAUUUAUUUGAAAGGGGCAAAUGCUCCACUACAAGAUGGACCUGCGUUGUAUUAGCUAGUAGGUGAGGUAACGGCUCACCUAGGCGACGAUACAUAGCCGACCUGAGAGGGUGAUCGGCCACACUGGGACUGGGACACGGCCCAGACUCCUACGGGAGGCAGCAGUAGGGAAUCUUCGGCAAUGGGGGCAACCCUGACCGAGCAACGCCGCGGGAGUGAAGAAGGGUUUCGGAUCGUAAAGCUCUGUUGUAAGUCAAGAACGAGUGUGAGAGUGGAAAGUUCACACUGUGACGGUAGCUUACCAGAAAGGGACGGCUAACUACGUG